GACGAACCGAGCGAACGUUAUUCGGAAUCACUGGGCUUAAAGGGUGCGUAGGCGGCCUGUUGCGUCCGCUGUGAAAUCCCGGGGCUCAACCCCGGGCCUGCAGUGGAUACGGGCUGGCUAGAGGCAGGCAGGGGAGAACGGAAUUCCUGGUGUAGCGGUGAAAUGCGCAGAUAUCAGGAGGAACACCGGUGGCGAAGGCGGUUCUCUGGGCCUGUACUGACGCUGAGGAGCGAAAGCGUGGGGAGCGAACAGG
rnacentral:rRNA from 1 species